UNCACGCCGUAAACGAUGAGUGCUAGGUGUUAGGCCCUUUCCGGGGCUUAGUGCCGGAGCUAACGCAAUAAGCACUCCGCCUGGGGAGUACGACCGCAAGGUUGAAACUCAAAGGAAUUGACGGGGGCCCGCACAAGCGGUGGAGCAUGUGGUUUAAUUCGAAGCAACGCGAAGAACCUUACCAGGUCUUGACAUCCCGAUGCUAUUCUUAGAGAUAGGAAGUUACUUCGGUACAUCGGAGACAGGUGGUGCAUGGUUGUCGUCAGCUCGUGUCGUGAGAUGUUGGGUUAAGUCCCGCAACGAGCGCAACCCUUAUUGUUAGUUGCCAUCAUUAAGUUGGGCACUCUAGCGAGACUGCCGGUAAUAAACCGGAGGAAGGUGGGGAUGACGUCAAAUCAUCAUGCCCCUUAUGACCUGGGCUACACACGUGCUACAAUGGUCGGUACAACGAGUUGCGAGCCGGUGACGGCAAGCUAAUCUCUGAAAGCCGAUCUCAGUUCGGAUUGGAGGCUGCAACUCGCCUCCAUGAAGUCGGAAUCGCUAGUAAUCGCGGAUCAGCACGCCGCGGUGAAUACGUUCCCGGGCCUUGCACACACCGCCCGUCACACCACGAGAGUUUGUAACACCCGAAGUCGGUGAGGUANCCUUUUAGGG
rnacentral:rRNA from 1 species